AUGGUGCUCUCAUCUCUGUGAUGCGGAGCUGAUCAAAUUUUAUGACUAAUUAAAUUAUUGUUUGCUUGCAAAGAUGUCAUUAACUUUCAAUUGGCUUUUGCAGUACGUUUGGGACCAAGCUGAAUUUGAUAUCAUUAAGCUCAAGACAAUAAUAUGCUUAUACCUAUGAUUAUAGAUGCGGAUGCGGUAACAGUGGUCAGAAAUCGAGUUUGAAUUGUCCUCUAUAUUCAAGAAUACGAAGUUUCUAUUGGCAUGAAGUUUUGAAGAUAACAAAUUGCGUGAGAAAUAAGGGUUGGCACAGAUGGGUAGGGCAUUGGUUUUUGAGAUCUUGGACAAACCAGCCACAAGUUGUUUCAUAGGAAUAUGCGGUGCAAUUUGUUUCUACAUACAGAAGAAAAACAUUGGCUAUUUACAUGUGGGCUUGAGUUAUGAAACUGCGGUUGCAGGGCACCAUUGGAGGAUUAUAACUUUAGCUUUCUCUCAUAUAAGCAUGAAGGCCGUGUCGAAGCUGGUAAAUAAAGAUUCCUCAGUGCAUCAGGUUCUUGACUAUUUUCAGCACUUCAGAGGCUGGUUCGACAUUCCGUUGUUUGUGAGGUCGCCAUGAAGAAGCCUGACUCUGCUGUGAAGAGAGCUUGGCAGGCCGAAAAGAGGAGGAUUUACAACAAAUCCCAGAAAUCUGAAAUCAAAACCCGGAUGAAGAAGGUCAUGAUGUCAUUCCACGAGUGUGGAGGCGAUGUCGGGGAUGAUGUACAUAUCCCACUUUCUCACCGGGUGACAGAAAUUGGCCAAAAGAAUCCUGAUAUAUAUUUUACUAAUAAAGAAGGGAAACGCAACACUGAACGUCUCACUUGGGGAAUUGACAAAGAGCGGGUUUUAAGAGGCCACACUGCUGUUGAGGUAUAGUAUUCUAGAAUUACUUAGUUAUGCUGGUCUUUUAUUUCUAUGGAUUGCCAUAGCUCCUUUCCUAUAUUUGUCUUCUUGUACAUGUUCCACUCAUGUUUUAAAAGAAACUAUUGCUAAACCUAUUCCAACUUAUAUGUUCUAUAUUUCUAAGAAUUUUCCUUUCCUAUGAUCUAAGAAUCAGACCUUAUGCAUUCUUACUGUUUAAUGCUGAGAGUUUCUAUUUUGUUAUAUUAUAAU